CUUAGAGCUGGGCAAUAUAUUGAUAUUAUAUCGAUGUUAUGAUACGAGACUAGAUUUUGUCAAAGAUUUUGGAUAUCGUAAUAUUGUAAUAUGGUGAAAAGUGUAGUCUUUUCCUGGUUUUGAAGGCAGCAUUACAGUAAAAGGAUGUCAUUUUCUGAACUUUCCAGACUGUUAUAACUGUUCUAUUAUUUGUCUUUACCCACUUAGUCAUUAUAUCCACAUUACUGAUGAUUGUUUAUCAAAAAUCCCAUUGUGUAAUUAUUUUGUGAAAGCAACAGUAGUCAACACUACAAUAUCCUUGCGGUAUCGAUAUCAAGGUUAUUGGUCAAAAAUAUUGUGAUAAUUGAUUUUCUCCGUAUCGCCCAGCCUUACUUAGAGGCACUAUAUU